rnacentral:lncRNA from 1 species
AAACUGCAGAAAUUGAUGGAUUGGCUCACUUUUCAGAGCACUAACAGUUGGACCAACCUCCGUUGUCAAGAGCCUUAAUCCAGCAUUAACAUCUGCGUCAUAACGCUUACCCAUGACUAAACCACUGCAGGAUUAAUGUAGGCUGACCACUGCAGCAGUGUUUAUUAUACAAUCUGCUUGAGCCUUUCAUCAUGUCAAAGAGGUGGUUGAUCCAUAUGGGCUACACGAACAAGUCUCCUUGACCUGUGGCUUCCAGGCAGGUCCCACC